GACACUUUGGCCGAGUGGUUAAGGCGAUGCCCUGCUAUUGCACUCACAGUUGCUAGGCAUUACAUUCGUGUGCGCAGGUUCGAAUCCUGCAGGUGUCG